rnacentral:rRNA from 1 species
UACAGAGGUGGCAAGCGUUGUUCGGAAUUACUGGGCGUAAAGGGCGCGUAGGCGGCCUUCUAAGUCAGACGUGAAAUCCCCAGGCUUAACUUGGGAAUUGCAUCCGAUACUGGAUGGCUUGAAUCCGGGAGAGGGAUGCGGAAUUCCAGGUGUAGCGGUGAAAUGCGCAGAUAUCAGGAGGAGCACCGAUGGCGAAGGCAGGUCUCUGGGCCUUACCUGACGCUGAGACGCGAAAGCGUGGGGAGCGAACCGG